CUCCACAGUCAUGCUGUCCUGUGUCAGAACAGAAAGAGGAGCUUCACCACGUCUUGGUCUCAUGACAUCUGUUGCCAGAGUUCGGCAUCUGCCACCCACUUGCUUGUGACAGCUGCAGCCAUAAGAGGUACAAUAUACUCCAAGCCUCCAGUUAGCUCAAACAUAAUCACCACCAAAGAGACGGUCAUUCGAGUAACACCACCUGGCAACAAAGAAAGCAGUCACUCAGUUCUCCCCUUUCCCUAAGCAAGACAGAACAUUGGCCUUAAGAACAAGUGCUGACCAUGCCAUUGUAUGUUUCAACAUACUGCUAAAAGCACUGCACCUUGAUUUGAACUUUUUAAAGAGGAAGUGACUGUUGGCCAGAGGAUCAACUGGAAUACCACAGCAAAAGUCGUGUUAUUUAUUUUGUGAACAUUAAGAUCAUUUAUGGAUAAGAGAAAGUGCUUUCUGCUUGCUGAGACUAAGAUUCAUCCUAACUGUUGUUACAUGUCUGCAUUAUAGCAGUCAUCCAGAUUGCUUUUAUAGCCUCUGGAGAGAACAGUCACCAUCAAGGAUAAAUUUGCCUGAUGUCUUUUGCCAGAUGAGACUGAACUUCACAGUAUUUCAUUUUUAAUGUAUGGACUGUGAAGGGUAUCAAUGCAUCUCAGGUGUCAGUGUCUACAUUACAGACUGUAAAUUUAGACAAGCAAAUCCCACCUUCAGUUCCCCAGUAAAUGAUCACACAAACAAUCCUAUUUCUUUAACAGGACACUCUGAAACUGAAAUGUCUCCAGCUCUUCCCUGAGUGUAUCUUUCCCACUGUUAUUUCAUCAUCUUAUGAUUCUAUCAAUGAUGAUAACAAAAGGAGGUAAAACAUGCACAUACUGAAAGAGAAAGUCACGAUAGGACAAAAAUGCAUUCAGAUGGUGUUCUUCAACAUUCCUGUUAGAUUUAUGACUAGAAAUUUAAUAUGUGAGAUAUGGUUCAGUGACCUAGCGUUACUAGUUAACAGGUCAUUCCUGUAAAAUCCAACGAGUCCUAGCAAUUUGAUGUAAUCAGAUGUUGGCCUACAGCCAAAAUGAAAACAAAAAGACAGCUCAGUUGAUCAGAGUUUGACACACAGCCAUAAUAAUGGCUGUUCUUUAAGUUCUUUACUAGGAGAGUGGUUAGGCCCUGGAACGGGCUGCCCAGGGAGGUUGUGGAUGCCCCGUCCUUGGACGUGUUUAAGGCUAGGUUGGACGGGGUCCUGGGCAACCUGAUCUGAAUAUGUAUGUUUGGUGGCCCUGCCAGGCAGGGGGGUUGGAACUACAUGAUCCUUGGGGUCCCUUCCAACCCGGGUGAUUCUGUGAUUCUGUGUGAUUCUGUGAUAAUACCCCAAGUUUUUACUUCUAUGUAGCUUAGGAUUUGGCCAGACCUGAGAAUUUUAUUCCCCUCAGUAGAGAGGGAACACAAUCUAAACAAGAAGUAGCUUUACUCCAGCUACAGUGGAUUUCAUUAUAUCUACGGGAAAAAGCAAGCAACCAGCAUAAAUUACCACCAUCACUCCUCCUUGGAGAUCCAUAGCCUAACUUUAUUUUAUUUUCCUCAUUUGUGCACUAUUGGCAGAUCACAAAGAGUAGGCACUGGUGACUGCAAGUCUCUCUUGUUGACUUGUCUACACGUGUAGAGAACUCUUGUUGCCUUCUCUCUUGUAAACCACUGGGGAGACCCUUUGAAGAAGCUUCCCAUGCUUCAGCCCGUCACAUUAUUACAUUCAGAAACACCAGCAUGAAACCUAACACAGACACAAUACCCACUUAAGCAAUUUGUAGGUUCCCAAGUAGUGGUGUUACCCAUGCACAAUGAUCAGCA